rnacentral:rRNA from 1 species
AUGAACGCUAGCUACAGGCUUAACACAUGCAAGUCGAGGGGCAGCAUUUUAGUUUGCUUGCAAACUAAAGAUGGCGACCGGCGCACGGGUGAGUAACACGUAUCCAACCUGCCGAUAACUCGGGGAUAGCCUUUCGAAAGAAAGAUUAAUAUCCGAUGGUAUAUUAAAACCGCAUGGUUUUACUAUUAAAGAAUUUCGGUUAUCGAUGGGGAUGCGUUCCAUUAGUUUGUUGGCGGGGUAACGGCCCACCAAGACUACGAUGGAUAGGGGUUCUGAGAGGAAGGUCCCCCACAUUGGAACUGAGACACGGUCCAAACUCCUACGGGAGGCAGCAGUGAGGAAUAUUGGUCAAUGGACGAGAGUCUGAACCAGCCAAGUAGCGUGAAGGAUGACUGCCCUAUGGGUUGUAAACUUCUUUUAUAUGGGAAUAAAGUAUUCCACGUGUGGGAUUUUGUAUGUACCAUAUGAAUAAGGAUCGGCUAACUCCGUGCCAGCAGCCGCGGUAAUACGGAGGAUCCGAGCGUUAUCCGGAUUUAUUGGGUUUAAAGGGAGCGUAGGUGGAUUGUUAAGUCAGUUGUGAAAGUUUGCGGCUCAACCGUAAAAUUGCAGUUGAAACUGGCAGUCUUGAGUACAGUAGAGGUGGGCGGAAUUCGUGGUGUAGCGGUGAAAUGCUUAGAUAUCACGAAGAACUCCGAUUGCGAAGGCAGCUCACUAGACUGCAACUGACACUGAUGCUCGAAAGUGUGGGUAUCAAACAGGAUUAGAUACCCUGGUAGUCCACACAGUAAACGAUGAAUACUCGCUGUUUGCGAUAUACAGUAAGCGGCCAAGCGAAAGCAUUAAGUAUUCCACCUGGGGAGUACGCCGGCAACGGUGAAACUCAAAGGAAUUGACGGGGGCCCGCACAAGCGGAGGAACAUGUGGUUUAAUUCGAUGAUACGCGAGGAACCUUACCCGGGCUUAAAUUGCAGUGGAAUGAUGUGGAAACAUGUCAGUGAGCAAUCACCGCUGUGAAGGUGCUGCAUGGUUGUCGUCAGCUCGUGCCGUGAGGUGUCGGCUUAAGUGCCAUAACGAGCGCAACCCUUAUCUUUAGUUACUAACAGGUUAUGCUGAGGACUCUAGAGAGACUGCCGUCGUAAGAUGUGAGGAAGGUGGGGAUGACGUCAAAUCAGCACGGCCCUUACGUCCGGGGCUACACACGUGUUACAAUGGGGGGGUACAGAAGGCAGCUACCUGGUGACAGGAUGCUAAUCCCAAAAACCUCUCUCAGUUCGGAUCGAAGUCUGCAACCCGACUUCGUGAAGCUGGAUUCGCUAGUAAUCGUGGAUCAGAAUGCCACGGUGAAUACGUUCCCGGGCCUUGUACACACCGCCCGUCACACCAUGGGAGUGGGUUGCAAAAGAAGUAGGUAGCUUAACCUUCGGGAGGGCGCUUACCACUUUGUGAUUCAUGACUGGGGUG